CGGGGUGCAGCAGGCGCGAAAACUUUACCAUUCGGGAAACCGUGAUAAGGGGACACCGAGUGCCAGCAUCAUAUGCUGGCUGUCCAGGUGUGUAAAAUACACCUGUUAGCAAGGGCCGGGCAAGACCGGUGCCAGCCGCCGCGGUAACACCGGCGGCCCGAGUGGUGAUCGUGAUUAUUGGGUCUAAAGGGUCCGUAGCCGGUUUGGUCAGUCCUCCGGGAAUUCUGACGGCUCAACCGUUAGGCUUUCGGGGGAUACUGCCAGGCUUGGAACCGGGAGAGGUAAGAGGUACUACAGGGGUAGGAGUGAAAUCUUGUAAUCCCUGUGAGACCACCUGUGGCGAAGGCGUCUUACCAGAACGGGUUCGACGGUGAGGGACGAAAGCUGGGGGCACGAACCGGAUUAGAUACCCGGGUAGUCCCAGCUGUAAACGAUGCUCGCUAGGUGUCAGGCAUGGCGCGACCGUGUCUGGUGCCGCAGGGAAGCCGUGAAGCGAGCCACCUGGGAAGUACGGCCGCAAGGCUGAAACUUAAAGGAAUUGGCGGGGGAGCAC
rnacentral:rRNA from 1 species